rnacentral:rRNA from 1 species
UACGUAGGGUGCGAGCGUUGUCCGGAAUUACUGGGCGUAAAGAGCUCGUAGGUGGUUUGUCGCGUUGUUCGUGAAAUCUCACGGCUUAACUGUGAGCGUGCGGGCGAUACGGGCAGACUGGAGUACUGCAGGGGGAGACUGGAAUUCCUGGUGUAGCGGUGGAAUGCGCAGAUAUCAGGAGGAACACCGGUGGCGAAGGCGGGUCUCUGGGCAGUAACUGACGCUGAGGAGCGAAAAGCGUGGGGGAGCGAACAGG